UGCGUAGGCGGAUUGAUAAGUCAGAGGUGAAAGGCUACAGCUCAACUGUAGAAUUGCCUUUGAAACUGUUGAGCUUGAAUCAGGUUGAGGUUGGCGGAAUGUGGCAUGUAGCGGUGAAAUGCAUAGAUAUGCCAUAGAACACCAAUUGCGAAGGCAGCUGACUGGACCUGAAUUGACGCUGAGGCACGAAAGCGUGGGGAGCGAACA
rnacentral:rRNA from 1 species